rnacentral:rRNA from 1 species
UACGAGGGGGGCGAGCGUUGUUCGGAAUUAUUGGGCGUAAAGGGUGCGUAGGCGGUUCCGCAAGUCCUGUGUGAAAUCUUCGGGCUCAACUCGAAGUCUGCACGGGAAACUGCGGGGCUUGAGUGUGGGAGAGGUGAGUGGAAUUCCCGGUGUAGCAGUGAAAUGCGUAGAGAUGCGGAGGAACACCGAAUGGCCGAAGGCAGCCCCCUGGGCUG